GAUGAAGAACGCAGCGAAAUGCGAUAAGUAAUGUGAAUUGCAGAAUUCAGUGAAUCAUCGAAUCUUUGAACGCACAUUGCGCCCCUUGGUAUUCCGGGGGGCAUGCCUGUUCGAGCGUCAUUAUAACCCCUCAAGCUCAGCUUGGUGUUGGGGCCUGCCGACUGGCAGCCCUUAAAAUCAGUGGCGGCGCCAUCUGGCUCUAAGCGUAGUAAUUUCUCUCGCUAUAGAGUCCCGGUGGAUGCUUGCCAGCAACCCCCAAUUUUUCUAUGGUUGACCUCGGAUCAGGUAGGGAUACCCGCUGAACUUAAGCAUAUCAAUAAGCGGAGGA
rnacentral:misc_RNA from 1 species